CUCCUGGUGCUCCUUUGCUCGACCUUUUCAAAUUUCAUUUUUUUCAACAGUAACAUUUGCGUAUUCUCAUUUUUGCCGUUUUUUUUACAUAAACACCUGUCAACUAUGGAAUCGAAGAAGAAGAAGAUGUUACAAAAACCAAGAGUGAUGCCAGACUGUCGCUAAUAGUAUACAUACAUAUGUGCAUAUAUUAUAUGCUACCCAUUUUAAUAACGUUUUCAUUUAUUAGAUCUAAAAAACACAUAAUUAUAUAUUUUGUAAUUCUUAUAUUAUACGUAUUUUCAUGCUCAUUGAACAGGGGUUAAAAUAAAAAAAUGUCAGAAAAAUACAGAAACACAAUACAGAAGCGAAACGAGCAAGAGAUGCGCGGGCGUCAGUAUAAAAACAUACCACAGUGCUGUGAGGGGCUUUGGAUUAGACCAAUCAUUAACCAAAUGCUGUCAUAUUAUGUUCAGACCAAAGAUUAAUGCGGUAUUUAUCGUUGUUAAAUGGAGUAUGUGGUUGAUUUGAUUUAUAAUACGUUCACAUAUAAGUAGAUGAUCUACUUUUUCGUGCUUAACUCCCAAUCCGUAAUUAAAAAGAGAGAUUUCCCAUACAAAAUUUCUCUCCCAAAAUGUGAAAUUAUAAAAUAGUACUAGAUAAUAACGAUACUUUUUGACAUACAUAUUUUUACGAAUGUAAAGAAAAACGUCAAAGUAAAAACUAAAUAAAAUGGAUGCCGGCAAAGAAAACAGGUUUUAGGCAAAAUGUUAAUGAAAUGUUUGUUAAGUAUUAUUAAUUAUGCAUUCAUACAACAGAGAAAAGGGUAUUUCCAUAAAGGCUUUGUUCACCUGUUACUUAUUAUAAAAUGUAAUAUCGAAAUUCGCAUGUGUAUUGCUGGCAUAAUUUUUUGAAACCUCAGUAAACGUCAUUUACGGAUUUCCUCCAAUUGUUUAUUACUAGUAGUUAUUUGCGCAAUUAAAUAAGCUAUUCCUUCUGUUGUUGUUGUUGUUGUAGCAGCAUAAACAUUCCCCAUACUUACAUACGGUGAAUGCUGCUGGAGUGACAGUCCUUGGCCGGUCACGUAGAACCGACUGUCGUGGAAACGAGCUAUUCCUUCUCCUUGUCGUUUCUUCAUAUCGUUAAUAAUAAUUAAACAACCCAAAAUAUACCACAAAAGCAAUUUCUAUGAGGAAAACCUCAAAGCAGUAUUGACAGCUGAUUGUCAAUUUUGCAGAUAAUCUGCCAAUGUGUACGGAUUUAUUGGUAAUUAAUGCAUAUUUGAUCGUACUUUCAACAAGAUUACGCCUUACCAAAAUGUGACUUAAUUAUCGACCUUGAAUUAGCGCCCUCUGUUUGUAAAAACAACCAACACAGUUGAUUCUGACAAUAAUCAAAUGUCAAACCAUUAAACCAAAACGAAACAAAGCGAAAACAUUUUUUGAUAGAAAAAACCUUUCAUUUAAUGAAAAAUAUAAACAAGAGUUUUAUGGAGCGACGCGGCAGAAGUAGGAGUCAUGGAAUUGUGGCGGCAGAGAAUGCCAUACCUACGUUCGGACCGAAAAAAAGGGCACGUCUAUGAGGAGGUGGCCAGGAACUUGGGAAGUGUUGGGCAUGUUUACAGUGGAAUGGAGUUGUAGACAAGAAAAGUCGAAAAUUUGUACUUUGGGUGUAUCUCCAUCAAAAUGCAAAUGCUACGGUGCAGUCAACAAAGCCCUGGACGUUCUCUCUCUUCGAUUUGGACUGGACUGAAGUGUACGAAUACAUUGAAUGUGAAACAGAUGGAGAAUCAGCAAUAAGCGCACCACUUCCCAGGCCUACUGCAUCCAAUUUAUCCAUCCGCAUCAGUGAUGGAGAAUAUGGGCGCAAACUUUUUGAAACAAACAAUGUAAGCGAAAUAAAAGAAGCUUCUGUAGAGUUCCUUCCUCGCCAAUAUUAAUUAGCUGAGUAAUAAACAGCUACAAGAACGAAAGUUUCGAUAUAAACUUAGUCUUAAGUAUAUAUUAUAUUGUAUUCUACUGAAUUAAUAUAAAGAUUAACUCAGCAAAUUAAGAAAAAAAAAAAUGGUUUUCUUAUUUCCUCUGCCCUUGCGUUAAAAUUUCCAAAUAUGUUGGGGUUGUUUCCUGGCCACUGUUGACUUUGGUCUUCAGUUUGCUGUGCCGCAAUACACUUUUCAUUGCUUUUGUCACUUUCCUCGUUGAGAAAGUUGUGUAUUUGUCCAAGCCUUUGCCAACUCUCCUAAGCCUCGAUAGGGCAAAAUUAAUUUUUUUCUAGUUUGAAGGCCGAGUCGCCUAGCAACAUGACUGGAACAUUGACGGAUGAUAUUUUCUUACUCAUGCCUUUAACUAAGAUGCAUUGUUGGAACUGCAGUUUUAAAGACAAGCUCUCAAGGCUGCUGAACCAUUACAAAGGCCUGAGCUGUGAAAUUAUAUCUACAAAAUAAUGAGAGAAAAAUUUUAAUAAGUUUCAUCCACCAAAUCCAAAGGGAAUGUAGAAUACCAGCCUUAUAAUUGCAAUAAUCAACUGCAUCUUCUACUGCUGGAUGAACUUCUACGUGACACCCAUCUGAAACCUUCAUGUUAAAUUAAUCCCUUUAUAAAGAGCACCCUUUCUUACCAAUAGCUCCUAUUACUUGAGGGAAACCAACCAUUUUAAUACUCCUUUAAUUUCGUUCGUUGGGAAUUUGUUUUAUAGUCCAGUAAAAAGAAGAUUUAAUUAAUAAUUUUAGGAG